rnacentral:rRNA from 1 species
GACGGAGGAGGCAAGCGUUGUCCGGAAUUAUUGGGCGUAAAGGGUACGUAGGCGGCUGGGCAAGUCUGGGGUCAAAGGCCACAGCUCAACUGUGGGAAGGCCCUGGAAACUGACCGGCUAGAGUGAGGUAGGGGUUGCGGGAAUUCCCGGUGUAGCGGUGAAAUGCGUAGAGAUCGGGAAGAACACCUGAGGCGGAAGCGCGCAACUGGGCCUUAACUGACGCUGAGGUACGAAAGCUAGGGGAGCGAAUGGG